rnacentral:rRNA from 1 species
AGGUUUGGCAUGGGCGAAAGCCUGAUCAGCCUGCCGCGUGUGUGAAGAAGGUCUUCGGAUUGUAAAGCACUUUAAGUUGGGAGGAAGGGCAUUAACCUAAUACGUUAGUGUUUUGACGUUACCGACAGAAUAAGCACCGGCUAACUCUGUGCCAGCAGCCGCGGUAAUACAGAGGGUGCAAGCGUUAAUCGGAAUUACUGGGCGUAAAGCGCGCGUAGGUGGUUUGUUAAGUUGAAUGUGAAAUCCCCGGGCUCAACCUGGGAACUGCAUCCAAAACUGGCAAGCUAGAGUAUGGUAGAGGGUAGUGGAAUUUCCUGUGUAGCGGUGAAAUGCGUAGAUAUAGGAAGGAACACCAGUGGCGAAGGCGACUACCUGGACUGAUACUGACACUGAGGUGCGAAAGCGUGGG